rnacentral:misc_RNA from 1 species
AAAUCUCAACCUCCUCGGUUUCUUCUGGACACCGAAGGAGGCUUGGACUUUGGAGGCCUUUGCUGGCGUCUCUCUCUUUUGAGAGCCAGCUCCUCUUAAAUGAAUUAGCAGGGUCCUCUUUGCCGAUUCUCGACGUGUGAUAAGAUGUUUCCAUGUCUUGGGUUUCUGGCUCUGUCACCUUUGGGACCUGCUUCUAAUCGUCAUGACCUUGCGUCAAGACAACGUUUGAGCGUGUCUCCCUUCCCGGGAAACCCUCUCGACCCACGAAC